GAAACCUGUGUUAAGGUGCUAAACUAUUUAAUAUAACAAAAAUCCCUCAAACAUAACUUUUUACACUGAAUUGGUCGUCUAUCAAGUGACAAAAUGAAAUGGGGCCAUAAAAUGAAGCAAAAAUCCUCAAUUACGACCAAAAAUUCAACACAUUUCGAAAAGGGUACUGGGGUGUUGCUAGGCAGCUGCUAGGCUGUUCUGAGUGGUUAAUUGUGUUGCCAGAGGUUUGUUGUGGUGUUCUGGUUGGUUACUAGGCAGUUGCUAGUGUUCUGUGUGGUUCCUAUGGUGUUACUAGGGAGCAACUAAGGUAUUCUGGGUGGUAACAGGGGUACUAGUGUAUUGCAAGGCAGAUGCUAAGUGUUCUGAAUUGUUUAUAUUUUGUAGCAAGGAGGUUACUAUGGUGUUCUGGUUGGUUACUAGGCAGUUGCUAGGGUGUUCUGGGUGUUAAAAAGGGUACUAAGGUGUUGCUAGGCAGUUGCUAAGGUGUUCUGAGUGUUUGUUAUUGUGUGGCAAGGAGGUUACUAUGGUGUUCUGGUUGGUUACUAGGGUGUUCUGAGCGGUUACUGUGUUGCCAGAAGGUUGUUGUGGUGUUCUGGUUGGUUCCUAGGCAGUUGCUAGUGUUCUGGGUGGUUCCUAGGGUGUGAUUAGGGAGCCUCUAAGGUAUUCUUGGUGGUAACAAGGGUACUAGUGUAUUGCUAGGCAGUUGCCAAGGUGUUCUGGUUGGUUACAAGGCAGAUGAUGGAAUUAUUUUUACUAUUAUUAUUAUUAUAAUACUUUUAUGUAAGAAGAAAGUAACUGUAUGUGUAAACCAGUGUAAACAACGAAGUCUUUUGUUUUAUUAAGGGGAAAUAUUUGCCCCCUGGAAGUGAUUUUUUCCCUUUAUAAGGGCAUAUUUUUAACCAUAUAAAAACACUCAUACUUUCAUGUAAAAUACUUUUAAUCAAUUCAUUUUUUUCCUCAAUCUAAUCAUGUUCAAUACCUAUGAAAAAAUUAAAUCAGCAUCAAAAAUAUUUUGUUUGAAAAUAUAUUUAACUAGGCUUAGAAUAAAAUAUAUCAGAUGAAAAAAAUUAUUGCAGGGUUGUUUUUUUGCCCCUAGCCUCCAUUAAUUUCUGACCCUGGUGUGGAUUGAUAUGACAGACAUGAAACUAAAACUUAUGUAGGUCAAUUAUACAGUUUAGCAGUCAUCAUUUUAAAAUAUUUAACCACAGAAUGCCUAUAUUGAUUAAUCAGAAUAAAAUAUUUCAAGUAUUCAAGUAGUAGAGUUAUGUAACAUGUACAAAUGAGAAGGAUAGCAUGUAAUUUCAUAUUCUGAAGACUUGCGCAACCAACUACAUCUUCGCCGAAACUAGUAGUUCCUUAUUAUUCUGUGCCAUUCUGAUAAAGUCUCAGUGGCUAAAAAAAGAUUUAGUGACUCAUUUACACCGCAAUAAAAUCAUUAAUGGGCACACAUAAAGAGUGCACUAACUUUAGCUUUAAUGACGGUCACAGCAUACAUUCAAACUCUGUCAAUUCAAUUUGCUUACAUUUACAGUUAUUACUGACCUAAAAAAAAAAAAAAAAAAACAUUGACACAAGAAGAAAAAUAGUAAGAUUCUGCACUAAUAUCUUUGGAACAUU